UACGAAGGGGGCUAGCGUUGCUCGGAAUGACUGGGCGUAAAGGGCGCGUAGGCGGCUCAUACAGUCAGGCGUGAAAUUCCUGGGCUCAACCUGGGGACUGCGCUUGAGACGUGUGGGCUUGAGUGGGGAAGAGGGUCGUGGAAUUCCCAGUGUAGAGGUGAAAUUCGUAGAUAUUGGGAAGAACACCGGUGGCGAAGGCGGCUCACUGGCUCGUAACUGACGCUCAUGCACGACAGCGUGGGGAUCAAACAGG
rnacentral:rRNA from 1 species